UACAGAGGUCCCGAGCGUUGUUCGGAUUCAUUGGGCGUAAAGGGUGCGUAGGCGGCGGGGAAAGUCUGAUGUGAAAUCCUGGGGCUCAACCCUGGAACUGCAUUGGAUACUUCCUUGCUAGAGUACUGGAGAGGAAACUGGAAUUUACGGUGUAGCAGUGAAAUGCGUAGAUAUCGUAAGGAAGACCAGUGGCGAAGGCGAGUCUCUGGACAGCAACUGACGCUGAGGCACGAAGGCCAGGGGAGCAAACGGG
rnacentral:rRNA from 1 species